rnacentral:rRNA from 1 species
AGUGAACGCUGGCGGUAGGCCUAACACAUGCAAGUCGAACGGCAGCACAGUAAGAGCUUGCUCUUACGGGUGGCGAGUGGCGGACGGGUGAGGAAUACAUCGGAAUCUACUUUUUCGUGGGGGAUAACGUAGGGAAACUUACGCUAAUACCGCAUACGACCUACGGGUGAAAGCAGGGGAUCUUCGGACCUUGCGCGAUUGAAUGAGCCGAUGUCGGAUUAGCUAGUUGGCGGGGUAAAGGCCCACCAAGGCGACGAUCCGUAGCUGGUCUGAGAGGAUGAUCAGCAACACUGGAACGGAGACACGGUCCAGACUCCUACGGGAGGCAGCAGUGGGGAAUAUUGGACAAUGGGGGAAAGCCUGAUCCAGCCAUACCGCGUGGGUGAAGAAGGACUUCGGGUUGUAAAGCCCUUUUGUUGGGAAAGAAAAGCAGCAGGUUAAUACCCCGCUGUUCUGACGGUACCCAAAGAAUAAGCACCGGCUAACUUCGUG